ACAAAGGACGUGGAAUACCCGGAUGCAAGUGUCAUGGCUGCCGCCAGUGAGGCCCCGCGAGGGAGUGGAGUCUAGAGUUUCCUAGAUAGCGCACCGAGACUGGGCUUCAAGAAGGAAUGAGACUUCCGGGCGACAGGGUUCUAGGAACUUUACCCGCUUCCUAGUAACUUGCUAAGUUUUUCUGGAGAAGACGCCUCUUGUGGCAGAAUGGGACUUCCCACCCAGCCCACCUUUGUGCAAAGAUUUUGUUCUCCUCACACAGCGCUGGGCUGGCAGCGCGACAUUAUUCUGGGAGGAAGGGGCGGGCCGGAGGCCUGAAUCGGGAGAAAUGAGGCCCGCUGUUGUCUCCCGGGCAGCAGACGCUAGGGUACUUCUCUAAUAAAACCGGCAGCUGACUGCCCCAUUGACUAACCUAGUCUUUAUCAUUUCAGCCGAGAUAUUCGGAGUUGAUCGUAAGAAAGACUCUUUAUAGCUGAUGCAACUACAUGCAAUCAGCCUGACAUUUUAGAUAAACUUUAAUCCUGGAAAAUAUCAAGGAUGGAUAUAGAGCAGGGUAGUUAAAUUCAAGCAAGUAAUGCUGCGUUUUACGUUUCAGAAUUAAUAGACAAAGUUCACAUGUUGAGCUAUGUGAUAGUUUAAGGUUUAAAUUGGGAUGUGUUGGUGCUUGCGAGAAUUUAACAAAAUCAUUCUUAUAAAGUAACUAAUGAGAAUAGAUUAAUAUUGAAAAUAUUCAGAAAAUUCUUGAACUUUGCUGAUGUGUAGUUGUAAGAGGAUGACGUCAGAUUUUUUCAUAAUAAGACUAAUUUCCAGAAGCUUCUGAAAAUACAUUAGUUUUGGGUAUAUUAGUUUGUUUCUCCAGAAGUUCACCUUCAGGUUUUAUCAUCAAAUGAAACAAGAACAAGUGUGAGUUGAUUCAUUAACUCUUCCUAGUAAGUCUAAUAAUUUCCGGUACACUACCAGGACAAACCACUGUUAAGAUGGAGUAACCAAGGCAAAGAAGGAGUGAAUUCCUUGCUCAUGGUCAUAGAAAUACAGCGAUAUUCUUAUCUACUUAUAUGACAUCUCUGUCUCACCGUAACACUUGGUAGAAGAAUGAAAAUGGAACACAGACCUGGACUCUGUCUAGCUUGCUUUGGGACAUGUGACUUAAGCUCUCUGAAUUUUAUUUCCUCACAUGUAAUAAAAAUACUUUGAACUAUUGUAUUUUAUUGAAUGCUGAGUCAUCAAGAACUCACAGUGGUAAAAGCACCCUUCUUCCAAGCUUUUCAUACUCAUUUGUCACAUCUCAGGAAAUGACAGCUUCAUCUUUGUGGUUACUGAUCUGACCACAUUGUAAGAUAUGACUGAUUUUAGAGAUGUCAAAAUGUAAAAUGAUACACAUCUUGGGAUUGGUGCUCCUUUUCAACCCGGAUUCUAGGAUAUCCACACCUUGAAAACGUUUUAUUGCUGUUUUAUGUGUUUUCUAAUGUAAAUAAGAUAAAACAUAUGCUUUAUGGAGGUGGAAAAGUAGGAAACAUUUUUACAGUUUUCAUAUGUGAAUCCUCAAUGCCCCAAACAACACUUGGCAUGUAAUCAGUGCUCAUUAGAGUUGCUAAAAGCAAAUCUUCAUACUAAAAUAAUAAUUUUUUUAAAAAAUCAUUUACAGUUUGACCUGUAAUAUUAUCAAUAGUGCAAAAAUAUUUUGCCACCAUUUUUUAAAUUCAAAAGAGCAGUUAUAAAAUGAAUAGUAUCUUUUUCCCCAAAUAUCAUUUUCUGAUGCUAAUAGUAAUCAAGUAUGGGUGCUUUUUGUUCCUUAAAUGGCAUUAUAAAAUUGAAAUUUGAUAUAUGUGGACUCUUAAACAAGGAGCCUCAUUUUACUUUAAACUGGACAACAUAUUAACAUUAUUUAUAUAGAUCUUCAUUUUAAGAAAGGUUGAAAACACGAUUUGAUAGCUUUUAAAGUUUUUAUACUAUGGAAAGAUGAGUUAAGAAUUUUAAAAACUGUAAUGGAAAUAUAUUUUGAAAUUGUUUGAAUAUGCAGAAAAACAUUCCAGUUUUGAGGUGGGCAGGUAUGAGAAUGUAAAGAAAUUAUUCAUGGGAUAUUUAUAGUCUGUCUAAUGAGGUCUGAUAACUCGCAGUUAGAGCCAGGAAGGAGGCACCGGAAUUACAAAUUGUAGGCUGGUCUCUUUAGAUAAUUAGUUGAAUGUGCUGUGGUGGCUAGAAAAAGUCAGCAACGCAUGAAAUAUCAUCAGGAAGGGGUUUGGGAAAAAGUUUUUUACCUUCAAAUAACAGUUUAUUUCAACAUGAAAUAUAGAAAGUUACAAUAGUGAUGGAUAGAUGUAGAAUGUUCAAAAUGAAGUCAAUUGUUAAAUAUAAUUAUAGGUAUAAUGUUCCUUGCAGAAUUCAAUAAACUAUGUAUGUCUGUAAAACCUUUUUUAAAAAGACUACAGGAGAAAAAUCAUUUGUGUAACCACCAUAAUUUCUGCCACUAAAAUAAUUACAAAAUGAACAUUAAUCACUAAUGUCUGUGGAUUUCCAUAAUCAAUUUUCUCAGAGUCUCUCUCCACAAAACAUAAUUCUUAUUCUUUCAUGAGUUGCUGCCUGUUCAUAAAGGGAAGUAGCAUUCAUUUCUAUUUGUAAUUUCCUUGCAGAAUGUAAAAAUGUGUACUUUUUUGGAUUCUCCAAACCCAGAGAAAAUUAGGCCAGCAAUCCAUCAGAAACUAUUUUUAUGAGUUCAAAUAAAGUAAUUCAGACUAUGAAGUUUCCACAAAAGUUAAUGUUUAUUAGUCAAAGGCCUAUCAGCCUAUAACAUUGGAGAAUUGAAGAAGUGGUAUUUAUCAAGAAGUUUGUAGCAAGCAAUUUUAGAGAACUAGAAUAUGUUUUGAGUACCUAAAGAUUGUUUUGUGAAUAUUUUUAAAAAUUUGAAUAAUUUCACACCUUUUUUCUUCACCUUUAUUUCUCUUUAAGUGAAUCACUGUACCCACCACCUGUACCCCAUGUGAAUUCACCUGGUCUCUUGUCCUAGAAUUUCUCGUAGUAGGUCUUUAUGAAGGGAAUAGAUAAAGAGACAAGUAUCAAUGAUUAGAUAAUUAAUACCUCCAGCUGCUUCUGCAAAUCUGUACAUAGGAGGGGAAAAAUGAAAACAAUAUGGAUUGGUUUGGAGAUUAAGCAUAAUCUGUCAUCUCUGCCUAAUGAUUUUAGAGCCUGGACUUGGCUUAAUUUGUAAGGUAAUAAAGGAGAGAAUGCUCUAUCUGUUUUGAAAACAA